GGGAGGUAGGGACAAUAAAUCACAAUGCGGAACUUCUGUUUUGCAAUUGGAUUGAGACAACGCACAACACUUAUCGAUAAACAAUUGGAGGGCAAGUCUGGUGCCAGCAGCCGCGGUAAUUCCAGCUCCAAUAGCGUAUAUUAACGUUGUUGCAGUUAAAAAGCUCGUAGUUGAAGUGAAGUGUGAAUCUCUAGGAUUUUCGUUUGAAUUUCCUUUAGCUUCAUACUCUUUCCAAAUAGUUUGCAUGGGUAUUUACUUAUCUGUGUAUUGCAUUUGGUCAUUUACUGUGAGAAAAUUAGAGUGUUCAAAGCAUACGUUUGUUUGAAUACAUUAGCAUGGAAUAAUUCGAAAAGGCUUUCAUGUUCGAUUUGAUUGGUUUGUUCGUGAAGGCAAGAUUAAAAGGGACAGUUGGGGGUAUUCAUAUUCAAUAGUCAGAGGUGAAAUUCUCGGAUUUAUGGAAGAUGAACAA
rnacentral:rRNA from 1 species